rnacentral:rRNA from 1 species
UACGAAGGGGGCGAGCGUUGUUCGGAUUUACUGAGCGUAAAGGGCGCGUAGGCGGCCUUCCAAGUCGAGUGUGAAAGCCCCGGGCUCAACCUGGGAGGUGCGCUCGAGACUGGCGGGCUGGAGUUCGGGAGAGGAGCGUGGAAUUCCCAGUGUAGAGGUGAAAUUCGUAGAUAUUGGGAAGAACACCGGUGGCGAAGGCGGCGCUCUGGACCGAGACUGACGCUGAGGCGCGAAGGCGUGGGGAGCAAACAGG